rnacentral:rRNA from 1 species
ACUCAAAUGAAUAGACGGGGGCCCGCACAAGCGGUGGAGCAUGUGGAUUAAUACGUCACUAACCGUAGAACCUUACCCAGGCUUGACAUCUGAGGAAGCCCCUUGAAAGGGGGGUGUGCUCCGCAAGGAGAGCCUCAAGACAGGUGUUGCAUGGCUGUCGUCAGCUCGUGUCGUGAGAUGUUGGGUUAAGUCCCGCAACGAGCGCAACCCUCACCGUAUGUUGCCAGCGUCAAGACGGGCACUCUUACGGAACUGCCCGGGUAACCGGGAGGAAGGUGGGGACGACGUCAAGUCAGCAUGGCCCUUACGCCUGGGGCUUCACACAUGCUACAAUGGCCGGUACAAUGGGUUCCGAGGCCGCGAGGCGGAGGCAAUCCCCAAAGCCGGUCCCAGUUCGGAUCGCAGGCUGCAACUCGCCUGCGUGAAGGUGGAAUCGCUAGUAACCGCCGGUCAGCUAAACGGCGGUGAAUACGUUCCCGGGCCUUGCACACACCGCCCGU